rnacentral:misc_RNA from 1 species
GAAAUGCGAUAAGUAAUGUGAAUUGCAGAAUUCAGUGAAUCAUCGAAUCUUUGAACGCACAUUGCGCCCGCCAGCAUCCUGGCGGGCAUGCCUGUCCGAGCGUCAUUUCAACCCUCAGGGCCCGUCCGCGGGACCUGGCGUUGGGGAUCGGCCCCGCCCUCACGGGCAGGCCGGCCCCGAAAUACAGUGGCGGUCUCGUCGCGACCUCCCCUGCGUAGUAGCAAUGCCUCGCAGCCGGAUAGCGGCGCGGCCACGCCGUAAAACCCCCUACUUUCUCAAGGUUGACCUCGGAUCAGGUAGGAAUACCCGCUGAACUUAA